GACGAACGCUGGCGGCGUGCCUAAUACAUGCAAGUAGAACGCUGAAGGAGGAGCUUGCUUCUCUGGAUGAGUUGCGAACGGGUGAGUAACGCGUAGGUAACCUGCCUGGUAGCGGGGGAUAACUAUUGGAAACGAUAGCUAAUACCGCAUAAGAGUAGAUGUUGCAUGACAUUUGCUUAAAAGGUGCAAUUGCAUCACUACCAGAUGGACCUGCGUUGUAUUAGCUAGUUGGUGGGGUAACGGCUUACCAAGGCGACGAUACAUAGCCGACCUGAGAGGGUGAUCGGCCACACUGGGACUGAGACACGGCCCAGACUCCUACGGGAGGCAGCAGUAGGGAAUCUUCGGCAAUGGACGGAAGGCUGACCGAGCAACGCCGCGUGAGUGAAGAAGGUUGUCGGAUCGUAAAGCUCUGUUGUAAGAGAAGAACGAGUGUGAGAGUGGAAAGUUCACACUGUGACGGUAUCUUACCAGAAAGGGACGGCUAACUACGUG
rnacentral:rRNA from 1 species